CAUGCAGGCGGUUUGUUAAGCGAGAUGUGAAAGCCCCGGGCUCAACCUGGGAACAGCAUUUCGAACUGGCAAACUAGAAUUCUUGAGAGGGUGGUAGAAUUUCAGGUGUAGCGGUGAAAUGCGUAGAGAUCUGAAGGAAUACCAGUGGCGAAGGCGGCCACCUGGCAAGUAACUGACGCUCAGAUGCGAAAGCGUGGGUAGCAAACAGGAUUAGAUACCCUGGUAGUCC
rnacentral:rRNA from 1 species